rnacentral:lncRNA from 1 species
GCAUCUGGAAGAUCAUCUCUGGGCUUGGUGUAUCUCAAAAUCAUCAGGCAAAGUGGCCCUGUCUCAGGGUGAUUCUGGAAAGUGCUCAGUCCACCCUAGUAUCUUCACCUGAGCAUUCUACUUUGUUGACUGGAUCCGGCUCAUCAAGGGCCAAGGAAGUCCUUCAGGCAGAAUGAGGAAGAUACAUAGAUGAACUAUCUGGAUAAGGAAAAGAGGAAGAACAUUUGAGACAAAUGAAUAGCUGGCAUGAAGUUUCCUCUUCUCCAGAACUAAGGGCUGCCACCUGUUCAGAGAACAAGUUUACUCUGGCUGGAAGUACAACACCUGGUCCCCUUUCCUUUAGGACCUGUCCUGGAAGACAUGUCUGCAGAGCUGAGUGAGGCUCCCUGCCCUGGCUGCUGUCCUGGCUUGCAGGAUCUGGGAACACAUACCCAGAAACAACUCCCCAUCCAUGUGCCCUGCCUUUCCUCACAUGCUUCCCAGAGAGCACAUACUUCAAGAAAACCAAAGAAAGAAAAAAUUGCCCUAAGAGUUCCGGAAUUGACCUCUGGCUACAAAGAGCACUGUGACUGGCUUACAAAGUUAUACGAUUCUCUGACGAAACUCUUUGUGACCCAGAGCAACUACUUAAGAGUCUGUUACAAGGUGCACAGUGUAUUCUCUCUGUGAGCUUACAUCUGUGGGCUCCACAAAGGGCAUGUGUGCCAAAAGUCUGGGUACGUGGUAGUUCCCAGUGACUGAAUCUUCGCCCAUUGGAGAAGUAAGGAACAGAGGAAAAGUCAGGCAAAUGGUCUAUGAGCUGGCUAGGGAAUGAACACAGAAACCCACAAUGAACGACACGAAAGACAUUCAGAGAGUGACUUAGGAGCACUUAGACCUCAGUGGGAUGCCUUCCUCAGACUCCUCCCCUCAGGGUUCAGGGAGCUCUCUGGAAGAGGAUGAUAAGAGCCAGAGGGGACAGAGGACUCAUGACGGGAAGGAAACAGUGUCCUCCAGACACAACAAGACUGACGCACGUAUGAAGUCAGACACUGUAACAGCAUGCACAAUGCCUGUACAGGUUCAAGCCAGAUGGAUUCUAAUCCUGCAAGGAGGAAGUGGGCACAAGUUCCAUCCCUGACCAAGAAGUUAUCCAACCUCAAUCGAUAACUGCUUGCAAAGGAAAACUUAGAUUUGUCCAAUGGAGUUUCACUGGGAUUAUUAACCAACCACACUUCAGGGCAGGCCCCCUGCCCAGCAGUAGAUGGCUAGUACUAAAUGAAUCUAAUGGUAUUUUUGUAGACUUUUGAUCUUACAAUGCUUUGUUUGAGUGUGUGUGUGUGUGUGUGUGUGUGUGUGUGUAUGUUACUGGUCUUUUACUAGUGUGUUAUAGUUUUUGAUUUUAUGGUUUGAUAUAUAUGUAUGUUUCUUGUGAUUUUUCUUUUAAAAUGUUAUUCUCUUCUCUUUUUGCCUGUUUGUUUUUUAAACAAGAGAAAGAAAUCAUGUAGAUGGGUGGAUGGGGAGGCAGAGGGGAGCUGGGAGGAGCUGGGGGAGGGAGAUCAUAAUCAGAAUAUGUUGUAUGAAAAAAAUGUUUUCAAUGAAAGAAUACAUUAAAAAACAAGC